rnacentral:rRNA from 1 species
GUACACUCCUGCGGGAGGCAGCAGUGGGGAAUAUUGGACAAUGGGCGCAAGCCUGAUCCAGCCAUGCCGCGUGAGUGAUGAAGGCCCUAGGGUUGUAAAGCUCUUUCACCGGUGAAGAUAAUGACGGUAACCGGAGAAGAAGCCCCGGCUAACUUCGUGCCAGCAGCCGCGGUAAUACGAAGGGGGCUAGCGUUGUUCGGAUUUACUGGGCGUAAAGCGCACGUAGGCGGACUAUUAAGUCAGGGGUGAAAUCCCGGGGCUCAACCCCGGAACUGCCUUUGAUACUGGUAGUCUUGAGUUCGAGAGAGGUGAGUGGAAUUCCGAGUGUAGAGGUGAAAUUCGUAGAUAUUCGGAGGAACACCAGUGGCGAAGGCGGCUAACUGGCUCGAUACUGACGCUGAGGUGCGAAAGCGUGGGGAGCAAACAGGAUUAGAAACCCCGGUAGUCCCA